UCGAGAAUUUUUCACAAUGGGCGAAAGCCUGAUGGAGCGACGCCGCGUGGGGGAUGAAUGGCUUCGGCCCGUAAACCCCUGUCAUUCGCGAACAAACCUUACUAUUUAAAAGAUGGUGAGCUGAUUGUAGCGGAAGAGGAAGGGACGGCUAACUCUGUGCCAGCAGCCGCGGUAAUACAGAGGUCCCAAGCGUUGUUCGGAUUCACUGGGCGUAAAGGGUGCGUAGGCGGCCGGGUAAGUCUGAUGUGAAAUCCCGCAGCUUAACUGCGGAACUGCAUCGGAUACUCUCCGGCUAGAGGAAUGGAGGGGAGACUGGAAUUCUCGGUGUAGCAGUGAAAUGCGUAGAUAUCGAGAGGAACACCAGUGGCGAAGGCGAGUCUCUGGACAUUUCCUAACGCUGAGGCACGAAAGCCAGGGGAGCAAACGG
rnacentral:rRNA from 1 species